rnacentral:rRNA from 1 species
AUUGAACGCUGGCGGCAUGCCUUACACAUGCAAGUCGAACGGCAGCACGGGAGCUUGCUCCUGGUGGCGAGUGGCGAACGGGUGAGUAAUACAUCGGAACGUACCCUGAAGUGGGGGAUAACGUAGCGAAAGUUACGCUAAUACCGCAUAUUCUGUGAGCAGGAAAGAGGGGGAUCGCAAGACCUCUUGCUUUAGGAGCGGCCGAUGUCGGAUUAGCUAGUUGGUGAGGUAAAGGCUCACCAAGGCGACGAUCCGUAGCGGGUCGUGAGAGGAUGAUCGCCACACUGGGACGUGAGACACGGCCCACGACUCCUACGGAGGCAGCAGUGGGGAAGUUUUACCCCCCCCCCCGGUAGAAUAGGGCGGCAAG